rnacentral:rRNA from 1 species
CACGUAGGGCGCAAGCGUUGUCCGGAAUUAUUGGGCGUAAAGAGCUCGUAGGCGGUCUGUUGCGUCCGCUGUGAAAACCCGGGGCUUAACCCUGGGCUGGCAGUGGAUACGGACAGACUAGAGGUAGGUAGGGGAGAAUGGAAUUCCCGGUGUAGCGGUGAAAUUCGUAGAUAUCGGGAGGAACACCAGUGGCGAAGGCGGCGAUCUGGGUCGAUACUGACGCUGAGGUGCGAAAGCGUGGGGAGCAAACAGG